UUUCCUAGCUAGAGAGGAAUUGAGUCAAUGAUUAGAAUACUAGUUUUGUGUACCGCAUCCCUUCUAAUUUUUAGUAAGCAUAAUGGUGCAAGUUGGUCGACGAAUCUUACAUGUUGGACUAAGUUUGUCGUGCCUCUCAAUAAAUCUCAUAAAAUAUAAGUUCGACGUACUCUGGACAAAUUUCGUAAAAGUUCGUCCACCUAUAGCCCAGCAUGGUCCCUUCCCAUUUUACUUUCACUCUCAUUUUUUAUUUCCCUCACUUCUCUGUUAGUGACUCUGGUAUAUCAUUAUUACUUCUUUUCACUCUUCUAGCUUGCUAUCUCGUCAAUUCUAGAGAUGAUCAGCGUUCUGUAGAAUGUGGCAUAUCAGUUGGGAUUGAAUAUUGAUGGAGAUCCAGCCGUUAACAACUGCAUGGGUUCAUAGGAACAGUUCUACAAUGGAUGUUCUAUUGACGAAUUUUAUCAACAAUUGUUAGGUGUUAUACACAGAUUCAAUGACAGAUAGUCAUAGAACAAGUGGACAGUCAAUCUCUCAUGAUUUUAAGAUACUGUAUGCGAAAAAUUGGAGGCAGAGUCGAUAGAAGAGCACUUGUUGUAGUAUACUAGAGAACACAUAAUGCAGAUCAUUGGAAGUAUUUUGUUUUCGGACGCGUCUAACUCUUGUGUUCAUAUGAAGUGGCUAUUUCUGUUAGAAGAUCUUGACCGAUGUGGAAAGUUGU